ACGGUUAAGUUAGAAAGGGCGCACGGUGGAUGCCUUGGCACUAGGAGCCGAUGAAGGACGGGACGAACACCGAUAUGCUUCGGGGAGCUGUAAGCAAGCUUUGAUCCGGAGAUUUCCGAAUGGGGAAACCCACCACUCGUAAUGGAGUGGUAUCCAUAUCUGAAUACAUAGGAUAUGAGAAGGCAGACCCGGGGAACUGAAACAUCUAAGUACCCGGAGGAAGAGAAAGCAAAUGCGAUUCCCUGAGUAGCGGCGAGCGAAACGGGAUCAGCCCAAACCAAGAGGCUUGCCUCUUGGGGUUGUAGGACACUCUGUACGGAGUUACAAAGGAACGAGGUAGAUGAAGAGGUCUGGAAAGGCCCGCCAUAGGAGGUAACAGCCCUGUAGUCAAAACUUCGUUCUCUCCUGAGUGGAUCCUGAGUACGGCGGAACACGUGAAAUUCCGUCGGAAUCCGGGAGGACCAUCUCCCAAGGCUAAAUACUCCCUAGUGACCGAUAGUGAACCAGUACCGUGAGGGAAAGGUGAAAAGCACCCCGGAAGGGGAGUGAAAGAGAUCCUGAAACCGUGUGCCUACAAGUAGUCAGAGCCCGUUAACGGGUGAUGGCGUGCCUUUUGUAGAAUGAACCGGCGAGUUACGAUCCCGUGCAAGGUUAAGCAGAAGAUGCGGAGCCGCAGCGAAAGCGAGUCUGAAUAGGGCGAAUUGAGUACGUGGUCGUAGACCCGAAACCAGGUGAUCUACCCAUGUCCAGGGUGAAGUUCAGGUAACACUGAAUGGAGGCCCGAACCCACGCACGUUGAAAAGUGCGGGGAUGAGGUGUGGGUAGGGGUGAAAUGCCAAUCGAACCUGGAGAUAGCUGGUUCUCUCCGAAAUAGCUUUAGGGCUAGCCUCAAGGUAAGAGUCUCGGAGGUAGAGCACUGAUUGGACUAGGGGCCCCUACCGGGUUACCGAAUUCAGUCAAACUCCGAAUGCCGAUGACUUAUCCUUGGGAGUCAGACUGCGAGUGAUAAGAUCCGUAGUCGAAAGGGAAACAGCCCAGACCGCCAGCUAAGGUCCCAAAGUAUACGUUAAGUGGAAAAGGAUGUGGAGUUGCUUAGACAACCAGGAUGUUGGCUUAGAAGCAGCCACCAUUUAAAGAGUGCGUAAUAGCUCACUGGUCGAGUGACUCUGCGCCGAAAAUGUACCGGGGCUAAACGUAUCACCGAAGCUGCGGACUGUUCUUCGAACAGUGGUAGGAGAGCGUUCUAAGGGCUGUGAAGCAAGACCGGAAGGACUUGUGGAGCGCUUAGAAGUGAGAAUGCCGGUAUGAGUAGCGAAAGAGGGGUGAGAAUCCCCUCCACCGAAUGCCUAAGGUUUCCUGAGGAAGGCUCGUCCGCUCAGGGUUAGUCGGGACCUAAGCCGAGGCCGAAAGGCGUAGGCGAUGGAUAACAGGUUGAUAUUCCUGUACCACCUCCUCACCAUUUGAGCAAUGGGGGGACGCAGGAGGAUAGGGUAAGCGCGGUGUUGGAUAUCCGCGUCCAAGCAGUUAGGCUGGGAAAUAGGCAAAUCCGUUUCCCGUGAAGGCUGAGCUGUGAUGGCGAGCGAAUUAUAGUAGCGAAGUUCCUGAUUCCACACUGCCAAGAAAAGCCUCUAGCGAGGUGAGAGGUGCCCGUACCGCAAACCGACACAGGUAGGCGAGGAGAGAAUCCUAAGGUGAUCGAGAGAACUCUCGUUAAGGAACUCGGCAAAAUGACCCCGUAACUUCGGGAGAAGGGGUGCUCUGUUAGGGUGCAAGCCCGAGAGAGCCGCAGUGAAUAGGCCCAGGCGACUGUUUAGCAAAAACACAGGUCUCUGCGAAGCCGUAAGGCGAAGUAUAGGGGCUGACGCCUGCCCGGUGCUGGAAGGUUAAGAGGAGCGCUUAGCGUAAGCGAAGGUGCGAAUUGAAGCCCCAGUAAACGGCGGCCGUAACUAUAACGGUCCUAAGGUAGCGAAAUUCCUUGUCGGGUAAGUUCCGACCCGCACGAAAGGCGCAACGAUCUGGGCACUGUCUCAACGAGAGACUCGGUGAAAUUAUAGUACCUGUGAAGAUGCAGGUUACCCGCGACAGGACGGAAAGACCCCGUGGAGCUUUACUGCAGCCUGAUAUUGAAUGUUGGUACAGCUUGUACAGGAUAGGUAGGAGCCUUGGAAACCGGAGCGCCAGCUUCGGUGGAGGCAUCGGUGGGAUACUACCCUGGCUGUAUUGACCUUCUAACCCGCCGCCCUUAUCGGGCGGGGAGACAGUGUCAGGUGGGCAGUUUGACUGGGGCGGUCGCCUCCUAAAAGGUAACGGAGGCGCCCAAAGGUUCCCUCAGAAUGGUUGGAAAUCAUUCGCAGAGUGUAAAGGCACAAGGGAGCUUGACUGCGAGACCUACAAGUCGAGCAGGGACGAAAGUCGGGCUUAGUGAUCCGGUGGUUCCGCAUGGAAGGGCCAUCGCUCAACGGAUAAAAGCUACCCCGGGGAUAACAGGCUUAUCUCCCCCAAGAGUCCACAUCGACGGGGAGGUUUGGCACCUCGAUGUCGGCUCAUCGCAUCCUGGGGCUGUAGUCGGUCCCAAGGGUUGGGCUGUUCGCCCAUUAAAGCGGUACGCGAGCUGGGUUCAGAACGUCGUGAGACAGUUCGGUCCCUAUCCGUCGCGGGCGCAGGAAAUUUGAGAGGAGCUGUCCUUAGUACGAGAGGACCGGGAUGGACGCACCGCUGGUGUACCAGUUGUUCUGCCAAGGGCAUCGCUGGGUAGCUAUGUGCGGACGGGAUAAGUGCUGAAAGCAUCUAAGCAUGAAGCCCCCCUCAAGAUGAGAUUUCCCAUUCCGCAAGGAAGUAAGAUCCCUGAAAGAUGAUCAGGUUGAUAGGUCUGAGGUGGAAGUGUGGCGACACAUGGAGCUGACAGAUACUAAUCGAUCGAGGACUUAACCAA
rnacentral:rRNA from 1 species